GAUGAACGCUGGCGGCGUGCUUAACACAUGCAAGUCGAACGGAAAGGCCCAAGCUUGCUUGGGUACUCGAGUGGCGAACGGGUGAGUAACACGUGGGUGAUCUGCCCUGCACUUCGGGAUAAGCCUGGGAAACUGGGUCUAAUACCGGAUAGGACCACAUUUUGGAUGGUGUGGUGGAAAGUUUUUCGGUGUGGGAUGAGCUCGCGGCCUAUCAGCUUGUUGGUGGGGUAAUGGCCUACCAAGGCGUCGACGGGUAGCCGGCCUGAGAGGGUGGACGGCCACAUUGGGACUGAGAUACGGCCCAGACUCCUACGGGAGGCAGCAGUGGGGAAUAUUGCACAAUGGGCGCAAGCCUGAUGCAGCGACGCCGCGUGGGGGAUGACGGCCUUCGGGUUGUAAACUCCUUUCGCUAGGGACGAAGCGUUAUGUGACGGUACCUGGAGAAGAAGCACCGGCUAACUACGUG
rnacentral:rRNA from 1 species